UACAGAGGUCCCGAGCGUUGUUCGGAUUCACUGGGCGUAAAGGGUGCGUAGGUGGCGGGGUAAGUUUGAUGUGAAAUCUCCGGGCUUAACCCGGAAAAUGCAUUGAAUACUAUUCUGCUUGGAGGGUUGGAGGGGGGACUGGAAUUCUCGGUGUAGCAGUGAAAUGCGUAGAUAUCGAGAGGAACACCAGCGGCGAAGGCGAGUCCCUGGACAACACCUGACACUGAGGCACGAAAGCUAGGGGAGCAAACAGG
rnacentral:rRNA from 1 species